GAACAAGCCGAUGUGUGAGUGGGGGGUGGACAGAGAGAGACAGUGGGCUGCCCUGAAGGGAGAGGCCAGAAAAGAAAAGGCUAAACACCUCAGUCCCCGGUUACCCAGGAGUUUGGUCAGGUUCGGGAGGAUAUGCAGGCCUCGGAGCCAGACCCAUUUUCACAGACCGCUCGGGACCCCAGGGAGGGAAGCUACACCUCAGCGGAGCUCCUGGGAAGUCGGUGGACAUGAGCCAGAAGGUGG
rnacentral:lncRNA from 1 species